UACGGAGGGGGCUAGCGUUGUUCGGAAUCACUGGGCGUAAAGCGUACGUAGGCGGCUUUGUAAGUUAGAGGUGAAAGCCCGGAGCUCAACUCCGGAAUUGCCUUUAAGACUGCAUCGCUUGAAUCAUGGAGAGGUUAGUGGAAUUCCGAGUGUAGAGGUGAAAUUCGUAGAUAUUCGGAAGAACACCAGUGGCGAAGGCGACUAACUGGACAUGUAUUGACGCUGAGGUACGAAAGCGUGGGGAGCAAACAGG
rnacentral:rRNA from 1 species